rnacentral:rRNA from 1 species
CAGCCGCCACGGUAAUACGUAGGUGGCAAGCGUUAUCCGGAAUUAUUGGGCGUAAAGCGCGCGUAGGCGGUUUCUUAAGUCUGAUGUGAAAGCCCACGGCUCAACCGUGGAGGGUCAUUGGAAACUGGGAAACUUGAGUGCAGAAGAGGAAAGUGGAAUUCCAUGUGUAGCGGUGAAAUGCGCAGAGAUAUGGAGGAACACCAGUGGCGAAGGCGACUUUCUGGUCUGUAACUGACGCUGAUGUGCGAAAGCGUGGGGAUCAAACAGGAUUAGAUACCCGUGUAGUCCCUGUCUCUUAUAC